rnacentral:rRNA from 1 species
CCUACGGGAGGCAGCAGUGGGGAAUCUUGCGCAAUGGGCGAAAGCCUGACGCAGCCAUGCCGCGUGAAUGAUGAAGGUCUUAGGAUUGUAAAAUUCUUUCACCGGGGACGAUAAUGACGGUACCCGGAGAAGAAGCCCCGGCUAACUUCGUGCCAGCAGCCGCGGUAAUACGAAGGGGGCUAGCGUUGCUCGGAAUUACUGGGCGUAAAGGGAGCGUAGGCGGAUAGUUUAGUCAGAGGUGAAAGCCCAGGGCUCAACCUUGGAAUUGCCUUUGAUACUGGCUAUCUUGAGUGUGGGAGAGGUUAGCGGAACUCCGAGUGUAGAGGUGAAAUUCGUAGAUAUUCGGAAGAACACCAGUGGCGAAGGCGGCUAACUGGCCCAUUACUGACGCUGAGGCUCGAAAGCGUGGGGAGCAAACAGGAUUAGAUACCCUGGUAGUCCACGCCGUAAACGAUGAGUGCUAGUUGUCGGCAUGCAUGCAUGUCGGUGGACGCAGCUAACGACAUUAAGUACACUCCGCCGUGGGGAGGUACGGUCGCGAGAAUUAAACUACAAAUAGAAGUUAGUACGGCGUGAGACGUGCCGACGGACGACGACGAGGGAGGUUAGG